AGAAAAGAACCGCCUAAAUUUUCUUCCCACACCUAAGCUUAACAAAAACUAAAAAGAACCGCCGCCCCAGCUUUCUCUUCAAAACCUAAAAGCCUCAAAACCUAAGAACUUUCGAUUGACGGUGAAACCAGACUUCAAAAUCCUUCAUACGACAGUGAUAUCUUUCAAGAGAUUGACGGCGAAACCAACCUUCAAAAAUCCUUCACACGGCAGCGAUAUCUUUCAAGAAAUGGGGAUUUCCUUCAGGUGGUGGCGUUUCGUUCAACUGGCGGGAUUCUUCUCAAGGAAAAAUCGAAUUUCAAGGAAAAAGUAAACCGCAAAGAAUUGAAUCCUUUUCUGUGGGACAGUGGAAGUGGCAAUCCCAAAGAUGCAGAUCAAACAAAGGCUAAAAGCGAUCAAAUUUUGGCAUCUUCUUUUGUGGGGGACGGUGGAGCAAGCUGGAGAAUGCUGGCUUUGAAUCGCACCAGGAGCAAGCAGAUUGUUAAAGAAAGGUGAUAAUAUCAGGUUGAUCAAAUUAUUGGAACAAAACUGAAGAGGUAUUCUGUAGUACCGAAUUUUAGGCAGCUGAGAUUAGAAGAAGAGGAAACUUUCCAAGAAGUAGUAAGAAGGUUAUAACUGCAACACCUAGGCAGUUGGAGAGUUUAAUACGACUUAGUGAAGCAUUGGCACGGAUGCAUUUCUCUGAAUGGGUCAGUUAAUAAAUUAAUAUAAAGUAUUUCCUAAAUCACAAGUACUAAAUGCAGUACAAAAUAUCCUAAAUGCAGAUUAACUUAAUGAAAGUAGGAGCCCAAAAGACCAAAAUACCCUUUUCUUAUUAGCUUCCCUCUCGUUUACGUGUUAAUGAACUGUUUCAGUGCUUAGCAGUUUAUUAGCUUCCCACUGCAAAACUUGUUGGCUAUUUUCAUGGAGAUUACUAAUUAUACAGUAAAGAAAUUAAUCAUGGCAAAUUGGCAAUCCAUUGGGCAUGUAUAAAUAUCUCUUUUUCCAUCAAUGCCCUUCGUUACAUCGCGGAUUCUUUGUAUUUGAAUAAAAUGAAGGGAAGAGUUCCGGAAAAUACUUCCAGCAAGUGGCCAAGAGUUUCGGGUGGCUCUUACGGAGAGUGGUGACUAGUUCCGGAAAUAUUUCCGGCAGGUGGUGAAGGGCUUUGGACAAUAUUCGCGUGGCCUGUCAGCAGGAGUUAUCAGAUCCCGAAAAGCGCGGUAGCCCAAAUCCCGACCGUCUUUAGCAUAAUCAGUUGCCACCGACUCCCCACAUAACAGAUCAAUGUUGGGGUAGAAUUGAUCGGUAGGCUCACCCCCAGGCGACCCGAACCAUGACUUCAUUGCCGGCGGGAUUUUGAAGGGGGUAUCCUCAAUCCAACCGCCGGUACGCAGCGGCAGAUGGUAAUUCAACCAAGAAUCACCGGAUCUAUUCUCACUACGACUAACAGGGGGCAUACUAGAAUUACUCCCUGUCACAGCAGCCGACGUAGCACAAUGCUGAAGUGGAGGCUCAUUUUCGCCGCCACCACCCUCUACGUCCAAAAUCUGAAUGGACGGCUGCGGAGAUUGAUGAACCACAACAGUAGAAUCCGCCGUCUUUUUGAGAGCGUCGUCAGCAGGAAAUUCGUGGAUGUCAACAACAGCCGAAACAUCAUCGCCGCCAGCAGCCUUAGAUUUCUUAUUAGGGUCAGAACGCCCACUAGUAAGUGACGAUCUCUUUCGGCUCUUUCCACCACGGCCGGUUGGAUUUGAUUGCAUAUUGGACGGCUGUGCAGUUUUACAAAAUAGAAGCAGAAGAGGAUUUGGUUUUAGAACCGGCGCCAACACGGUUCUUAGCAACGGUAACAGCUGAGCGACGGGAGGAGGCUCGUGUAGAGUACGUUGAUAUUGUGUCGUACUUUGCUUUAGGCUGCGGAGGCUGCGUGCACACAUGUCUCCAAUUCUCGUCAAAACCAAGAAUAUCUCUAUCCAAGGUUUUAGUACCUGCAAAGAUAACGACACAAUUAAAGCCGGCAAGUGACUUGUGCAAUACACAAAACUAAAAAUAGCAAAAAUAAAUACAUCCCAUUCAGCUAAAAAUAUGUUUACCAAAGCAGUGAGUGUUUCAUAGGCCGACAGCAGACAGGGGUUGGCUACCCAAAAUAUAAUAGGCAUUAGGGAGCCAAUUUCGAUUUACAGCCUGCUUUUUGCUGAGACCGACAUCUAAAAUGUCACACUCCAGAUAAUCAAAAGUUUUUCUCUCCCGCCGGCCCAAACCACGCUGGUUGUACUGCUCCAUACGAGCCCUGGGUUUAGUAAAAGUCCGUCGAAGAGAAAAGUCGUCAGGAACUUGAACGAAGUAAAAACGAUCCUGCCAAUCUUUGCAGCUCGACAAAGGAGGAUGCACAGUCUUCCUUUUCGUUGCGCUAUACGCCGACAUCCACCCUGUCUCACCAUCUUUCUUCAACCAUAACAGCCGCUUGAAUAAAUUCAACGUCAGCGGCCAUUGCUUAAACAGACAAAGCCAGACAUACGAAAUAACAGUUCUGAUGGUAGUGGGAGUAACUUGAUCCAAGCAGACAUUCCAAGCCCGAAAUAUCUUCUCAACAAAAGGGUGCAAAGGAAAGGAAGCCCAAAAUCGAAAUGCUUCUCGUACACAGCGAUAUGGCCGGGAGGACAAUAAAAAAUAGUAGCACCUUCAGGCGGCACUACCAGCUUAUAGUCAGCCGGCAAACCAAGAAAAGUCCCCCCAUGAACCAGAAGAUUUUUCUUUAUAAUCAAAUCACGACAUGUCGUCAAAAUCUCGGUCGUUCGAGGAAGACUAUCUAAAGGAGGCAGCUCUUCUCUCCUAUGAACAUAUCUGUGGCGUCGUCGGUAAAGUAAGGCUGCUCCUUAGCCUCAUCCGCAAGAACUUCGGCCACUAUUACGUCGGUAGGAUCAUCAUCAUCAUAGCCAAUAUCAUCGUUACCAACUUCUGUAUCAUUCCUACCAGAAACACCAGCUUCAUCACCACCACCCCUAUGUUCAUCAACAUCCUUACCGGCAGAAUCCUCGAAGAUGGAAUCACCAUCGGAGUAUUCACCGGUAGCCAUAUCUACAUCAUCGGUUACAGGCUCUUUACCAGGGCGGCGGCCGCUAGUGCUAGCCGGUUGUUCUGAAGCCAUCCUAUCAGCCUGACCAAAAGAAACACCGAAGUUGCCAGUAUUAGUUCCAUACUGCCCGUGGCCACUGCCGGCGGAAUCCAAAAAUUCUCGAUAAGAGCGAAUAUGAUAUCACACCGAAAUAGGGGAAACAUCUAAAACAGGCUCAGUAGCCGGAAUAGGGCGCUCAUGAGACCUCAUUUCCCUUAUCAUUCGAGCCCGUAGAUGAUGUAGGGCAUAACAACGCUCUCUCUCAGCCUGACUUAAACCCUCGUCGUAUAUCUCACGAAUGGCAGUCCAUCUUAAAUUAGAUCGAGAAGGCGGCCUCUCCUGGGCCCAACUACAGUUACUCUCUUGGGGAACACUCCAACCGGUAAACCCAGAAGGUUGGGAAGAAGGAUUGUCCCCACCCAAAUUUUUGGUCAUUUUUGAAGGCGGCGGAUAAUUAAAAGUUCGUUUUUUUCACAAAAUGCACCUGAGGUUUGCAAUAAUGCACCAAAUACCCUCGCGACUUUUGAAUCACAUAUUAUACCCCUAUUUUUUCCUAAGUUUGCACUAAAUACCCCUAAUCUGACUUUCCGUUAGUCCUCCGUUAAGUCAUGUUUAUAAUUCACAGUAUGCCCCUUUUUUAAAACUUAUUGCACUAUAUACACCUAUUUUAAACUUAGUUUCACCAAAUACCCAAAUUGCAGGAAUUUGAAUUUAACGGCUAGUUUUAAUAAACCUAAGGAUCAAAAUAUAGCUGUUAUGUUCUUGCUGCUUAUAAAUAGUGUUGGUGUUCACUGCUUAUACAUAUUAUCCCCUCUCUUUCCUAAUUAGCCAUGAGCUCUCAUUCUAAAUCCGAAUCCUCUAUUCCAAAUUUAGCAUACAUUAGAGUUCCUAACAAAAAAUUUUAUUGCGGGAGAAGAUUUGCCAUUAGGAGCUCGGAAACGAAAAAAAAUCCGCAAAAGCUUUACUACAAGUGUGAUCCUUGUGACAAUUUCAAGUGGUGCAAAGGUAUUGCUGAGCAGACACUUGAUGAAGUUCAAAGCAAGGGAAACAGAGAAGAACAAGGGCAUGAAGAAAUCAGGGGAAUGCAUGAAGAAAGCAAGGGAAUGCAUGAGGAGUUGAAGCUAUUGAAGAAGAAGUUGAAACAACAUAAAUAACAAAUCAAUGUUGCAAUUAAAAUUGGUGUACUAAUGUUUGCAUUUCUGAUUUGGAUAGCAAUGAAGUAGAGAUUUGUAACAAGAUUCAAGCAAUAAAGUGAGACCUUGUUCCACAAAUAUUAGUUCAAGCAUAUUAGCUUUACAAAAACUGACUUCUAAGUAGGCAAAUACCACUGAAACUGCACAAAAAACAUAUGGUCUAAGCAUUGCCUUGCUUUCAAAAACUGAUUCUAACUAACUCUUAACUUAAUUGACUAAGUUAGUUUAACUUUGUGCACCUACAAUUCACAAAAAAUGUUCUAAGCAUGGUCAAGCAGCUGUCUUUGUCCUCUUCCUAGUCCUUGGACCCCCCUGUGAUGUACUUGCUCCUGCUGCAGCCCUCUUUGAAGUGCUUGCUCCAGUGGCAUUUGGUCCUCCACUCUUACAUGUUCUUGAGUUGUGACCAAACUCUUUGCACUUUCCACAUUUCACAUUGUUGUUCCUCUUCCCCUUCCUGGGUUCAUUUGCUCCUCUCUUUUUCUUCUUAGCAGGUCUGCCAGGUGGUCUUUUGAUGAUUGGAGGCUGAAUGGUAGGGAGGCCAAAUUCAGGCCACUGAGUUGGGUCUGCCAUGGGAUGAAUGUGUUCUGCAUAGGUGAGCUUGUAUGCAGCAGACUUGAAGAAUGGGGAGACAUAAUCAUGGGGGUUCAACCUUUGGUUGUAUAUCACCCUCAAUGCAUGCUUGCAGGGGAUUCCACAGAUCUGCCACUUUCCACAGGCACAGCUUCUUGUUGCUAGCUUAAUUGGGAAGUUGACAUGGCCAUCCCUAACUUCAAAUUCACCCCCUCCACAUGCUGUGGCAUAGCAGAACCUGGACUCUGCUGUUCUUUCCUCCAACUCCUUCAAUGCAUAUUCUGUUAGUUGACCAUCCUGCAUAUCAACUGCCUUGUCAAACCUAGCCCGUAUCCUCUCCAUACACCAACUUCUUAUUGCUGUUCAACAACAAAUACAACAGAUACAACAAACACAUUCCAUUAAACACAACACAACAGCACUCACAACACCACAACAAUCACAACACAACAGCAGCAAACAACAGAAACAGGGGAGAGGAGUUAUACCUUCCAAUAAAGAGAACACAGGCAUGUCUCUGUAUGGUUUUGUGCAUGCAUUAAAUGACUCCACAAAGUUUGUUAUGUUAUGAUGACAACAAACACUAGGAUCAAACACAUGUCUUGACUACUGCUCAAGGCAGCUGUCCAAGUAUGCAGCAGCAUUUGGAUUAUAGUCAGUUAUCUUCUCAAUUGCCUUACCAUACACAUACUCAUUGUAGGCAUCAGCAGCUAUCCAAAAAAGUUUCUGGAAUGCAGAUCCACUGAAGCCAUUGUUCUUACAGUUCAUGUACAAAUGUUGGCAGCAAACUCUCCUAGUUGCCCUAGGAAAAGUUUCUUUAACUGCCAACUCAACUCCCUACAAAAACCACAAAUUAAGUUAGUCGGGUACGGGUUCAAGUGUCCGACUCGGGAAUAUAAAAAACAUACAAAUAAGAAAUAAGUAAAGAAAUGAGAACAUACCCUCAUCCUAUCACUGAUGAAGGUCCAAUCAUCUCUGCAGCAACCCUCUUGCUCAAACAUUUGCCUCAAACAUCUUAUGAAGUAGGUCCAACUGUCACAACUCUCAGUGUCCACUAUCCCAUAGGCCAGAACAAAUAUUUCAUUGUUCCCAUCAAUACCAACUGCUGUGAGCAGGAUGCCCUUGUAAAACCCACUUAAAUGAGCUCCAUCUAUGCCAAUUAUAGGCCUACAACCCUUUAGAAACCCUCUAACUUGAGCAGCAAAAGAGAAGAAGCAGGCUCUGAAUUUAGGGUUCACAUCCCCACUAUUUGCCCCCCAUGUUAUCAGUGCAUGACUGCCUGGGUUAGUUUGCUUGAUCAUCUCAGCAUAUCUAGGUAGAAACUGAUAAGCCUCAGCCCAACCACCAUGUAGUUUCUCCUUGGCCAUACUCCUAACUUUGUACAAUAGCCUCUUCUUCACCCUCAACUGGAACUUCUCCUGUGCAUACUUCCUCAAAGUCUCCACUGGAAUGUCAGGAUUGUCCUCUAUUUCCCCCAACAUGUGCUUACACAACCACUCAGAGGUCACCACAGGGUUCUCUUCAAGUCUUCCACAAGUCCCGUGGGACCCACUAAUGACCUUAAUUGCCCAACUGACAUUGUCAAACAACCUACUAGCAUGUAUCCUCCAGUCACAUGUUUCUACUGCACACACUGCAGUAUACCUCCUAUUGUCAGCCCUCUCAACACUAAGCCCAAACCCCAAUUGUAUGCAGUAACUUCUCAAAACUUCAAGGAAUGUGGCCUUGUCUGGAAAUAUCAACCAAGGUUCUAACUUAAUUGACCCAUAUGGUUGAUGAGUCCAUAUCUUACCAUUCUUGUAGGUCUUAUCCAUCUUUGAAGAACCAUCAAGACAUUCCUCAAACCCUAGAUCAUGGACAUCAUCAGCAAGCACCUCACCCUCCACGUCAGAAUCAAUCCAAUCCCGAAGAACAUCCUCCUCAAGUUCAGAGUCUGAUUCAGACUCCUCAUAAUCUGAAUCCUCACUCUCCUCUUCUGGACCUAGAUCAUCAACAUCAGCAAACACCCCUGGUGUCCUAGACCUUCCUGUACCCUUUCUCCCUUUGCCCUUCCCUUUGGACACCCAAGUCCCAGCCUUCUUAGCAGUCACUUUAUUAACCCUAAACCCCUUAGGUCUAGCUCUGCCCCCCUUCUUUUUCACUGGUUGUUCUCCCUGAGCCUGAUCAGGUGGUGUUUGAUGGGUAGGAUCAUCAUUGUGGUUGUUCUGUGGUUGAGGGGUAGGUUGUUGUGGUGGUGGUGGUGGUGUGGGCUGUUGUGGUGGUGGUGGUGUGGGCUGUUGUGGUGGUGGUGGUGGUGUGGGCUGUUGUGGUGGUGGUGGUGGUGGUGUUGGUUUUUUCUGUGGUGGUGGGGUGGGUUGCUUCUUUGGUGGUGGGGUGGGCUAUUUCUGUGGUUUUGGGGUGGGUUGCUUCUUUGGUUGUGGGCUGGGUUUAGUUGAUGUGGAGGGUCUCCUCUUUGGGGUAAGUUUCUUAGCAGCAGGGUUACCCUUGGCUUUUGGCUUAGGAGCAGCAGCAGGUUGUUUCUUUGGGGGUGGGGAUUCUUGUGUUGGUUGUGGUUGAGAGCAACCUGGAAACACCUCAUUAGCAUCAUCUUUGCUAAUCAUUCUCACAUACUCAACCUUCAAGUCCUCACAAUCAACCACGGGCACCUCCGUAGCCACAGUGAACUCCAUUUGUUCCUGUAUUUCCCUCAAAAUGUCCUCCCUUUCCUGUUGUUUCCUCCUUUCCUCUUCCUCCUCUCUUUGAGCCCUCAACAGUUCAUCUUGCCUCUCCUUAAGCUUCCUCUCAUUUUCUUUCCCAUGAUUCUCAAUUGUGCCAACAGCAGUCCUAAACACCAACCCUGGAUUAUCUGUUCCCUCAACCCAAAUUUCAGCAGUAUCUUUGCCCCAAUUCCAUCCCCACAACAGCCUCAGUGUCUUAUCAUCUUUCAACUCUACCUUUUCACAAGGGGACUCAAUAAACAAGCUAAACUGACUAGGCAAAAACACAUCCUGCUUAAUUGAUUCCUCAAAAAUGUCUAGAAACAACCUCAACAAAGAAUACUUAUCCAUGUCUGGAACUCUCACAUCAAAGUUAUGUGAUCCAUAAUGCAAUAACAACCACAUAGCAGUCAUCCUAAAGGGAAAAAUAAUGGGAAAAAAAACAUGAAUUUCCAUUGAAACAACAACAAUUCAUUAAUAACAAACAUCGACUAAUCAAGUCAUCAAUACACAAUACAAUUCCAGGAAAAAACACAGACUAACAAUCAAUUAAUCACAACAACUUUGCGCAAUUUCAAAAAAAUAACUGACAAUUUCACAAAACCCUAACCCUAAUCAAUUUCGCGAAAAAACUCAACUUUACAAGACAAAAAAACAGCGAAGAAGAGAUUAUUACCAGGAAGUAGAUUAUCCAACUUGAAAAAUGGCGCUUCCUCUUUGACUCUAACUCGUGCUGUAAAUCGCCUCAAUUUUCUCAAUUCUUUGUCGCGAAAUAACCAAUAUCACACUCAAUUUUCUCAAGGGGCCUAGUGAUCCAAAUAUUUUUCAAGGGGGCUAGUCGUCCAAAUAUUUCUCAAGGGGCCUAGUGAUCCAAAUAUUUUUCAAAGGGCCUAGCCAUCAAAACCUCCUGUCAGAGCGAAGGCAGUCGGCAAACUGUUCGAGGUCUUUCCUCAGAAACACUUGCAACACAGUCAAUGCCUGCACUUCACUCUGAGGGGGCUAGUUGUACCACCAGGUAUCAAAAUAAUACUUAUUUUUUCCCAUUAUUCAGAGCAAGCGCAACAAUUAUCAUAGAUGCGCUUACUCUGAGGGGGCUAGUUGUACGGGGUGUCCUACCGGCACCACUGGGUACCGGCAGAACUCCCCGUAGGUAAACUUCAACCUGCAGGUAAUCUGGUCAUCUUAGGUAAUUAAACAGCACCUACCGGCAAUAUUAGAGGAACCUUACCGGCGUUAUCACAGAGGACAACCAACCAAGGGUCACUAUCAAUAGGUCGCUAUCCAACCACAAGGGACCCACCUGAUCGUACCCUUGGAUUGGUCUAUAUAAGGAGCACCACAUUUAUUGCUAUGAGGUACACACACACUUAAACACACUUCUUUCUAACUCCUUGAUUAUCUCUUAAUCACUUCUUAAUCCCUCAGUAAUCUUACUUAGGCAUCGGAGGGGGAUCCUCGAACCACCCCCGAGGCUAGUUAAUUCAUUCUGUUGUGCAGAUACCAACCGGCACUCUCAGCAGGAAUACAGUAUCCCACAGUCAGCUGUUCUCAUUCCACACCCGGAACAAUAGGUAAUUACUACAUACUCCUUAUAAAGCAAAGCGGUAAAAGUAAGAGUGACAAAUUAAACCAACAUUGAGUUUAUUUUUCCCGGGGAUGGAGACUUGUGGAAGCAGUAGAAGUGAAGCUAGCUAAAAGUAGUUGGGUAACCCCUCCCAAAAAUCUGAAAUGGGUGAGCCAAAGACAAUCCAUAGUGACAUAAAUAGUUGAAUGUUCAACACUUGAUUGUCUCAAAAUAGGCAAGAUUCUUUAAUUGAAAAGGAUACUCGAUCAGGUACUGGGCCUAUUGGCUCUGAGCAUUUCCGUUAUGAGCCAGUCAUCAGCCCGUUCAGGCCGCUUCAAGCUAGAUUAAAUAUCAUUGAGAAAAAGGAAAUGAAAAUAAUCAGAAACCUAGAACAAAUUACAUUAUCAAACAUUGCUGCAUAAGAGCUGACUUACAAUAGGGUAGCAAUUCUUAACGAGGCUUCUUGUGCUUAAUCUCGAGUAUACAGUAUUGCAGAAGUGCUCUUGAUCCCAACCAAGCAGCCUCAGAAAUUUGUCUUAUGUUGCAUAUAGGAAGUGUAUUUCCGUAUGAAAAAAGUUGCAUUGCCAUAUUACUUGUAUAUUCCUCAGUCCUCAGUCCUCAGUCCUCAGUCCUCACCUUGAAGAAUAGCAGUGAGGAAUAUCCAGGAAUAACAUUUCCAGCAGUGUUCAUAAGAAUAAUAGACUUGACUAGCGAAGGCCAAGACCACCGACAACCGAAAUAAAGUAUCCUGACAUUCAAAAACAUUGAUUACUAUUGGUUUUGAAAGAAACAAAUAAGAAUGGAUCAAUGAACUCAG